rnacentral:tRNA from 1 species
GGUGGUUCAGUGGUAGAGCGCUUGCCUAUCAUGCAUGAGGCCCUGGGUUCAAUUCCUCAGCACCA